CGGUGAAUAUUUUUAACAGCUGCGGUAUUUUAACUGUACUAAGGUAGCAUAAUAAUUUGCCUUAUAAUUUGAGGCUAGAAUGAAUGGUUUGACGAAGGUUAAUCUGUCUCCGUUUUAUUUUUUAGAAAUUAAUUUUCAUAGUGAAAAAGCUUGAAUUUUUUAAAGGGACGAGAAGACCCUAAUGAGCUUAUAAUUUUAUUAUUACUGUAUUUUUAUAUUAUUAUUGUAGUAUAUAAAUUUUAAUUGGGGUGAUUAAGGAAUAAGGUUUAUAUUAAUGUGUAACUUCCUUAGAUUUUUAAUAUUGUUAGAUUAAGUAACCGAUAUAUUGAUGCAAACAUGUAUUGUAUAUUGCUUAUAAUAUAGUUACCAUAGGGAUAACAGCGUAAUUUACUUAGAGAGUUCUUAUUGAAAGGUAAGAUUGCGACCUCGAUGUUGGAUUAAAGUAACCUUAAGGUGUAGAAGCUUUAUAAGGUAAAUCUGUUCGAUUUUUAAAACUUUACGUGAUCUGAGUUCAGACCGGACUCGCCUGUUUAUUAAAAACAUAAG
rnacentral:rRNA from 1 species